GCGGGUGUAGCUCAAUGGCAGAGCAGCAGCUUCCCAAGCUGAAUACGAGGGUUCGAUUCCCUUCACCCGCUCCA
rnacentral:tRNA from 37 species